rnacentral:misc_RNA from 1 species
GUUAAAGCUUGACGGAGUGAAAGGUGUCGACGUGGAUUUGAGUAAUCAAGUGGUAAGAGUUCUUGGAUCUCUUCCUGUGAAAACCAUGAUGGACAGUUUGGAGAAGACAGGUCGUAAAGCCCGAUUGAUAGGGCAAGGCAACCCUGAUGAUUUUUUAGUUUCUGCAGCUGUUGCUGAGUUUAAAGGUCCAGCUAUAUAUGGUGUUGUACGUUUAGCUCAAGUGAGCAUGGAAUUGGCAAGAAUUGAAGCGAGUUUUAGUGGCUUGUCACCUGGUAAGCACGGAUGGGCUAUAAAUGAAUUCGGGGAUUUGACCAGAGGAGCAGCAAGCACAGGGAAUGUUUUUAAUCCGGCAAAUGAACAAUUGGAAAAGCCAUUCGGUGACCUGGGAACAAUUGAAGCUCUUGAGACCGGCGAGGUUUACUUCUCUGGUGCCAAACCAAUGAUCAAAGUUGUUGAACUCAUUGGGCGAUCAGUUGUGGUCUAUGAGACCGAGGACAAGUCUGACCCGGGCAUCGCAGCUGCCGUCAUAGCGAGAAGUGCUGGUGUUGGUGAGAACCGCAAAAAGAUAUGCACCUGCGACGGUGUGACCAUAUGGGAAUCAAUCUGAACUUUGUUCUCUACUAUCUAAGAUAGCUUUGCUUAAAGCCUGAGGGUAGGUAUAUGUGGUUCUCUCUCUGUUGUACACUACAUAGUAGAUACUCAUAUAACGAUAAAUAAAGUAAGCAUAUUACACUCUCUACUGGAAAGAUCUCCAUCUUCACCUUACAGGAGGGCUGGUCUGAUUGUAA